UUUUUAAAUACAGUUUAGUAAUUAAUGAAUUUUUUGACUUCCUUAUUAAAGCAGUUAAUCAUAAUAACCUUCCUUAUGGAUGUUGACUGAUUUAAAAAGAGUAAUUUUAAAUUUUUGUUUGAGAUGAAACAAAAGUACAGGAGUGGUUUGUUUAAAUUUAUUGUUGUAAAUAAUUUUGUAAUUUUUAUUCUAUUCUAUAUAAUAAAAUGUCAUAAAAAUUUCUAUGUUUUAAUUUUUUAAAUAUUUUGCUUAAGUUAUUUUAGAAAAUAGAGUUUGCUAUCAUGCAUUUUAUAAAUGAUAACUCUGUAGCAAUUGUACCAGUGAAGUGGAUUGUCAAUGUGAAUUUCUGUUACUGGCCCCCUUAUCGUGGUAGUCGAUUAGAAAACUCUAUACAAAAAAAAGAAGAGCCCAAAUUAUCUUGGGAACAGCUGCCAGCUAGAUCAUUACAUUUAUAUGCAAGCCAUGAAAAAGCACAUCAAAAUUUAAAACAAGCGGAGUUAGAUACCUCAGCUCUUGACACAGAUCAUGAUGAACAAAUUUCUAUGUCAAAAAAGCGGCGAAAAAAUUUUUCAUUGUCUAAUGAAGAACAUAUUGAGGACAAUCAUACAAAGCUUAAAUGUCCGAAUGUUCCACCAGGACUGGCAAACCCUAGUAAAAUCACUUGUUCAGCCUAAUAAGCUCACAUUUCAUCCUAGGCUAAGAAAUACCAAUAAUACAACUAAACCAUUUUAGGCAGUAGUAUCAAAUACAAUUUCAGGGGAGAAUAUAAUAAUGGAUUCAUCAGCAAGUUGUGAGAUCGCUUUCCCAGAAAAAAGAAAUCAGGAGUUAAAUAUGUCUGAUGAAGAAAAUGAAGAUUUUACGAUACAUUCUUGCACAGCUAAAUCACCAAAAACUGACAAUUUGAUUGAUCAAGCUCAGCCAAAUUUUAGUUUGUAUUCCAAUUUAAAAGCAUCACUAAUUCAUCUCCGUCAACCCCAAAUGCAAUCUCAGGAAUACUUCCAAAAGAUCUGCAUGUGAUUCUAAGCAGACUUGCAUCAAUAGAGACAAAGCAGGCCAUGCAUUCACAAAUUUUGAAUUCAAUCCUUAAUGCUGUAACUCAGCAUAAAAGUUAUGAUACUUUGCCUGAAGGCAUAAAUCUUCCUCUUGAUUGUAUACAAGAAUUAAAAGAUUUUGAUGAGAAACUAAAAGAAAAUAGCACUUUCAAGUUAUUAGUUAAUCAUCUUGCUCAAAUUGGUGGAAGAAAUAUUGGUGAUACAACGCGUAGAUUGUUAAGAACACUUUUCUCAAAAGGGUUAUCGUUGCAAUUAAACUUUGCCGAUAAGGGGUGGAAAAGUUGGAAUCGGCAACAUGAAAAUAACUUCUCUUAUUGUCAGUGUUGUUAAGAAGAACAAGUUAUUGAGUGACGUCACUACUUCAAGUGUUGAACAACUUGUAAAGAUUUGGCUUAGGCAGUCCUGCGACCGCGAAGGAGGCAGAAAUGAUCCAGAACGAGGGAGUAAACGAUCACUCCAAAAAAAUUUAAUUCGAGACAAUCAAUUGUUAUAACUUAUAGUAAAAAUUAUAUAGUUUAACGGUUUAUUCUGAUGAAAUAUUUAAGCAUACGUUAA
rnacentral:misc_RNA from 1 species